rnacentral:siRNA from 1 species
GCACGUACCACAGUUGAACCGUAC